rnacentral:rRNA from 1 species
CCAGACUCCUACGGGAGGCAGCAGUGAGGAAUAUUGGUCAAUGGGCGGAAGCCUGAACCAGCCAAGUCGCGUGAGGGAAGAAGGCCCUGCGGGUCGCAGACCUCUUUGGACGGGGAGCAAGGCCGCCGACGUGUCGGCGGAAGGAGAGUACCCGUAGAACAAGCAUCGGCUAACUCCGUGCCAGCAGCCGCGGUAAUACGGAGGAUGCGAGCGUUAUCCGGAUUUAUUGGGUUUAAAGGGUGCGCAGGCGGCACGGCAAGCCGGCGGUCAAAUCGCGGGGCUCAACCCCGUACUGCCGUUGAAACUGCAUCCCUUGAGUGCGCGAGAAGUAUGCGGAAUGCGUGGUGUAGCGGUGAAAUGCAUAGAUAUCACGCAGAACUCCGAUUGCGAAGGCAGCAUGCCGGCUCCACACUGACGCUGAGGCACGAAAGCGUGGGUAUCGAACAGGAUUAGAUACCCUGGUA